rnacentral:rRNA from 1 species
UAGGGAAUUUUCGUCAAUGGGCGCAAGCCUGAACGAGCAAUGCCGCGUGAGUGAGGAAGGUCUUCGGAUCGUAAAGCUCUGUUGCGGGGGAAAAAGGAAGCAGAAAGGAAAAUGGUCUGCUUUUGAUGGUACCCCGCCAGAAAGUCACGGCUAACUACGUGCC